AUGAAGAUAUCACUGAUUCUACUGCUGCUCACCCUGGGGCUCCUUGUUCAGGGUUCAUCAGGAGACAUCAUCCUGACUCAGUCUCCUGGAUCUCAGUCUGUUGUUCCAGGAGAGACUGUCUCUAUCACAUGUAAAGCCAGUUCAGAUAUAAGCAGCUAUCUUCACUGGUAUCUUCAAAAAUCUGGACAAUCUCCCAAACUCUUGAUUAAUUAUUCUACAAGUCGUCAGUCUGGAGUUGCAGGUCGUUUCAGUGGGAGUGGAUCUGGAACUGACUUCACUCUGACCAUCAGUGGAGUUCAGACUGAAGAUGCAGGAGAUUAUUACUGUUCACAGAGUGGUCACAGCUUCCCGUGCACACAGUGAUACAACGCCGUACAAAAACCUCCCUCAUAUAAAGAGGAACUGAUCCGACUCAACAGCUGCACAUUAACUACAACACGAGACAUACGAAUAAAAGUCUCAAAAGUACAAAAAAGUGAAUCACAAUCAUGGACGUACAAUAUUCCCUUGUGCCAGUACCUAACUUUAUUGAUAGCU